AUAAUGAUACUUUCGUCCAGCCACAGCCCCGCACGUCUGCGGGAUCACGCAAUGGGGGCGACUCGGUGAGAACCACGGAGAGGUGAAACUCCUAUGA
rnacentral:ncRNA from 1 species